CGGCUACGUGACCUUCAAAUAUUCCAGAAACCCAGUAUAUAACUGCACAGUACGACUUCUGACAAGCGGGCGCUUAAUUAAGAUAAUACAUAAUUUAAACCUUAAUUGCCACCUUUUAAACAAAGUAUUUUGGAGUCUCUAUGAUGUACACCGCCCACAGUUAACGACAUAAAUGCCCCAAUGAUCACUCUAGAAUUGUCUGCUGACGCUGAAAAGAAAACGGAUAAAAAGGAACAUUUCAUUCAAGAAAGCUUCAAUUGCUCUCAACAUUGCACUGCAAUCAUCUAGCAAGGCACUCUUGAACGACCAACUUUAAAACUGUACCCAUGCACACGAAAAUGAAUAGCAAACAUUUCUUUAUAACUGCUGUGUUACUUUUAGCGUUGAUAGGCAUGCCAUUGACUGUGAAAGGUUCGCCGGAGCAAGUGGCGUCGACAAGUAAUACAGAGAUUCGCAAUUUUGUCGAGAUUCCAUAUAACACACCCGAGUUAUUCAAGCGUGUUUGCGGCAUGCAUUCAUUCAAAUGUGGUCGACGGCGGUCAUCAGUUAUCAAGAAAAGAGGAUAUUCAAGAAGGAAACUUUAACUUAGACGCCAAGAGCGAAUUCAAGGAUUUUUGGACAAACGGAAAUGGCAUUAAAGACAUGGAUCACAUCAACGCUGCUGCAAUUAAGAUACAUCAAAGUCAAGCAAACGCAUAAAAAGAACCGGGAAGAUUGCAUACAUUAACAAUAAGAGGCCAGUAAACUAGACAAAUUUCUCCUUAAUUCUAUUAUAAUUUUUUAAUCUUAAUAUUAAAUAUUUUUGUGCAAUGUGCAAUGAAAGGUAAGGUGAGGUAAAGCAUUUAUCUAUACACGAUAAAGAUGUAACAGCAACGCUGAUGUGAUCGUGUCUAAAAAUUAUAUAACUAUCUAAAAUCCCAUCUACAAGGUAUUUACAAAAAAGAGAGCUAUUGAUUACAGAAAUAAUACGAUAAAAUAUAAAACUAAAAAACAAUAACUGAAAAAAGUUUAACUAUAUAUAAUAUUUAUAAAAUGUAAAAUCCACGCGGCAUUUUGCCAAAUGGUCUUUUAAAAGUAUGUAGUGAGCCAAUAUUUCUAACUUCAUUGUUAAGCUUGUUUGUUUCAAAGCUUGGCCUCAACAUAGGCAAAAAAAAUGAACUUCGUUAGUGUAUUGGUCUUAGAGCAUAGAAUAUUAAAACAGAACUUUUAUCUGAGAAUGUAACUCGUCUAACGUUUAACGAAUAAAUCAUGAAGAGGGGUAGGUGCAGCGCCAUAAAAACAGUUGUGUCCGAGAUAAAAACAAUAAGCACUGACAAUACGUAUUGGCCUAAGAGGCAACCAGUUUGCAGCGUUUAAAACUUGUUCCGUUGGUACACCUAUCCAGGUGAGUCUUCGCUGCUCUCGCAUGAAUCCGUUCAGUAUCGUCAAUAUCUGAAUGAGCUCCAAAUGAUUAGGCCGUAAUUUAUAGAUCGUAAAAUGGCCUUGUAAUAGAAAUCUAACCGAACGUUAAUCCGUAAAAAAAAUGAAAUGAUUUCAGAAGAUUUAGUUUCUGUAUUAAUGUCUUAUUGAAAUCUUAAACAUACUUGUUUCCUUUGAGGUCACUAUCAAUUUCUAAGCCUAAAAACCUAGUAGAGGCCACUUGUGAAAUAAUUGAGUGCAUUGCCGAAUCUGGGUUAGAUGAACAUAAAUUCGAUCUUUCUAGGAUGUGAGGUGAGCAUAUUAUUGCGGUACCAUCUGGUGACUCCACCAAGAAUUAAAUUGAAUUUGCUGGUAACCAUAUCAGGAGUACAUGUAAUCAGGGCGCAAGAACAGAGACUUUACAUUGUAAGAGCAAUAUAAACAUUUUCCCAUGUUUCCAUCGAUUUAUGUAUUUAAAAAAAACAAAAAACAAAAAAACAAAAAAACAAAAAGAAAAGAAAAGCAGCUUUUAGAAGGACUAUAGAAAGUGUAGAAAAAACUGCGGUUCCCACGAGCCAAGGUGCCCAUCAUGAAGCUCGGCGCUUAUCUCCGGUUUCUGUAGCAUGACGCGACUAAGAGUAUUUCUACUUCCCCCUUAGAUGGAUGCUCGUCUAUCGCAGGGACAACCCCCCGGACCCAUUUGUUACAGUCGAAGCUCUCUGAUACGGACUCCGAAGGGCAGAGCGAAGUGUCUCCAUAGAAAGGUGUCCGUAUUGGAGAGGACAGUAUGAUGACGUCACUUUUAAGUCUCCACUGACAGCUUGGAGUGUUUGCAUUUGUAAAUUUGAGUUUUGAAAACUAACAUUUUGACAUGUUCUGGUAUUGGUAUCGCUGAAUGAUAAAGUGUCAAUGUUUUAUAACCUCCGACAGGAAACGGUACAUUCCGCAAAUUAUCGACACCUGGUCCCUUGAGUGUCCGUAAUAAAGAGGUUAAAUUUGUAUGAAUUUGCUCCCCAGGGUCGAGAUUUAGUGUCCGUUGUCCGUUUUAGAGGCGUUUCUUUAGAGGAAAU
rnacentral:lncRNA from 1 species